rnacentral:rRNA from 1 species
GAUGAACGCUAGCGGCAGGCCUAGUACAUGCAAGUCGUACGGCAACACAGUUGCGAGCAAUCGCAACCGGUGGCGAGUGGCGCACGGGUGAGUAACGCGUAUGUAACCUACCCUUCUCCGGGACAUAACUCCGCGAAAGCGGUGCUAAUAUCCCAUACCAACUCAUCAAGACAUCUUCUUGAGUUGAAAGCAGCAAUGCGGUGAAGGAUGGGCAUGCGUCCCAUUAGCUGGUUGGUGAGGUAAUGGCCCACCAAGGCUACGAUGGGUAGGGGUUCUGAGAGGAAAGCCCCCCACACUGGUACUGAGACACGGACCAGACUCCUACGGGAGGCAGCAGUAAGGAAUAUUGGGCAAUGGUCGAAAGACUGACCCAGCCAUGCCGCGUGCAGGAUGAAGGCCCUAUGGGUUGUAAACUGCUUUUAGCCGGGAAUAAACACCCGUUUUAUAACGGGCCCGAAGGUACCGGCUGAAUAAGCAUCGGCUAACUCCGUG